UUUUAGUGCUGAAUUGUGAUACAACUAUGUUGUUUAACAAAGAAUAGAGGUUUAUCUUUGCUCCGCUGUAGCAUUCUAGCCGAAAAAUGGAUUAUUCGUUGAGAUAUUAGCAGUUGAACCUGCACAGUCAAAUCUGCUAAUAACUCAAUGAAUAACCCAUGUUUCGGCUAGAAUGCUACAGCGGAGCAAAGAUAAACCUCUAUUCUUUGUUAAACAACAUAGUUGUAUCACAAAUCAGCACUAAAAGCCCAAAAAUUUAUUUUUGAAAAAAAAUGUAAACAUCGCGGACGGCUCCAGCUAACAUCCCCUGUGAAAAGACUUCAUAUAAUGGAUGAAAAUGAAUGCGGCGGAAUAGAAAAUUAUUUCGGGCCAAAUGAAGUAGCACGUCAGAAUAGAAAUACGUCUCAAGUGAGAUGAAUUGUGCAGCUCACAUCGCAAAGUGACUUGGUAAACCCUGUAUAUCCGCGACACACUAGUUAGAGACGUGGAGAGCCCAUAACCUAAUGAGUUUAAAAUGUGUCUCUACAGUUUAUUAUACUAAACUACUACAUAACUGAAGCUCGCUGCUUCUUUUAUACCCGUCGUAUAUCCUAUGGUCUACUUUGUUUUUCCAACAGGUGGGACUAAGCUGGACUUCAUUGCUUCAACGGCAGCUGUGAGGGCGGCUUGAAAGCCAACUUGCAUACCCGUACACUUAAACACUUUGCUUCACGGAUUACCAAUCGCAUUAUUACACGCAAUGCAACUCCAGUGCAGCGAAGGCAUCCUUUUCACUUCGUCGAUCACUGAUAUGGGCACUUUCGUGCACGCCAGAUGAUGCAAGCUGCGGAUGAACGUCGAAGGAGCCACGAAUAGCCGAAAAUAUCGUUAACACAGUAGUUAUCGUCAGGAAAGCAAUACUAGGAUCGCGGAAACUGCACUUAUGGACUCAGCAAAACUAGAAUCAGUUAGAACGAAAACCGAUUACACGGGGAAAAUCGUGGAUAAAUUCGGAGCGUUAGCAGUAAACACACUAAGUUGGCAGCUGUCAGACUUGACUUGACUUGACUUGAGAAGAAACUAUAAACACUACAACGCAUGUAAAAGCUGCCAAGGAGCAGAUGGUCUGGUUGUCGACAGCACGAGUUUUAGUGUGCAAUGAACAUGGCGAGGAUGAUUGCUAGAGCAUUUUUAGAUCAAGGAUCCCAGUCAAAUUUUAUCAGUGAACAAUUAGUGCAGCAGUUGAGACUGAGAAAACGACGACUUGCAAGACCAUUAUCGGGAAUCGCAGCGGUAGAAGUAAGGGCUGUAUCCGUUGUGACAGCAAUCGUGAAGUCACGUGUAACUGAGUUACACGUACUACUGGUGGUAACUACUGGUUGAUUGGUUGGUACUACGAAAGGUGACAUCGGAUUUUCCUUUCCGUACGAAAAACACGGAAAGGUGGAAUAUGCCGGUAGGAGUAACGUUAGCGGAUCCAGCGUUUUUCCGUAGUGAUAUGAUUGAUAUGUUGAUUGGAGGAGAGCUGUUUGCUGAGCUGUUACAACAAGGGCAGUUACGUAUUGCCCCACAUUUGCCUAAGUUACUGGAGACGAGCUUUGGCUGGAUAGUCAGCGGUAAAGAAGAGAAUCAGCAUGAUACCAGCAUGAGCAACCAGAUGGCAUAGUUCCUUCAUCAAUGAAGAAGAAGACUUGAGCAGCUUGUUGGAGAAACUGGUGAGUUUGGAAGCUAUACCUGAAGAUCGAAUUCUUUCCAGCGAUGACCAGGAAUGGGAGAGAUGGUACCAAGAAUCUACCAAACGAACAGAAGAGGGAAGAUACAUCGUUUAGCUUCAAAAGUCAACUGAGGUGAAGUAUUGCCAAGAUAUACGAUCCAUUAGGUUUUGUGGACCCUAUAAAGAUGGUGGCAAAACUUUUUAUGCAACGGUUGUGGACGUUGAAGGAGGCAGACGGGACAAUGUGGCCAUGGGACAAGGAGUUACCAGGAGUAUUGCAGAAGCAAUGGGGAACGUUUUGCAGCCACUUGGGAGAGUUGAAUAACUCCAAGGUGGCACCACUCGCGAAACGACUUACAAUUGCAAGACUGGAGCUUUGUGCAGCAUUUUUGGCGAGCAACUUAUACAAUUUUAUUAGGAAAGCAAGAUUGCCGGAAGCACCAUGCUAUCUGUGGACGGAUUCGAUGACCACAUGGUAUUGGAUCACCUCACCUCAUCAAGGUUGGAAAACGUUUGUGGCAAAUAGGACGGCCAAAAUCCAGACUCUUACUAAUGGAUGCCAGUGGAGGUAAGUCCCAGGCAUUGAAAAUCCCGCAGAUUUGGUAUCGAGAGGAUGUCAGCCAGCAGCCUUAGUGGAGUGCCAGCUAUGGUGGUCGGGGCCAUCGUGGUUAGUAAAAAAUGAAGAUGGGUGGCCAAGAUCAGCAUUUACUAAACCAGCAGAGGCGACAAGAGAAGAGAGGGCUUGUGAUUGAACGUCUCACUAGCGAGGAAAUACAAGGGUCAGAAAAGAUGCUGUGUAGAAUGGCACAAAUGGAUGGAUUUUCCCAAGAGAUGAAGGAGUUGAAGGCCGGAAGGGGAGUGGCCCGUUCCUCGGCAGUACGAGUGUUGCUGCGAAUCGUAAACAAAUAGAGAACGGUCACCGCGGCUGACAGCAAAACAUUCAGCAUUUGCGAUCGCGGAAGGUUCUACACUCUCACGUACAGAGGGCACUGUAACGGGUUCGGAUACAGGGAAGGCGAAUGACCUCAGGAUCGAGAAUCGGGUUCCUCGCCAUCGCGAUUGCAUCAGCAGCAUCACGACAGCGAGCGAAUAUAGUUGAAAAACUUUUUAAAGGUAUACAAAAACUGCGAUUCAAUAAAGUUUCCACCCAAAGCGAAACUCAGCGUUUUAAGUAUUUUUUGAUUCCUACGAAGAAGUGAAUACUAUAUCGCCACGCGAUUAGUUCGGGAGCUAACAACGAGUAUGUGAUCCAUGGAUUGAUGAGGAAGGUUUGAUGCGCGUGAAUGGCAGACUACGGCAUGCGGAAACAAGCCAUUCGAUGAAGUACCCGAUAAUCAUUCCGAAAGGACAUAUGUUGGCGAAAUUGCUGGCAUAUUAUUGCCACAUAAAGUUUCAUCAUGCAGGCCCACAAAUGAUGCUAUCUACAUUGCGUCAGGAAUUUUGGAUCAUCGGUGCAAGGUCAGAGGUCAAGACGAUUUAUAAUCGGUGCAUUAGAUGUUGUAGGUGCAACCCGAAAUCUACUGAACAACCGAUGGGAGAUUUGCCGAAAUGUAGAGUUUCCCAAGCAAAGCCGUUUGCAGUAUCUGGUGUCGACUAUUGUGGUCGAGUUUUCUUGAAGGGGAGCCAUCGGCGAGCAGCUCCAGUUUAUUGCAGUGUUUGUGUGUUUUGUUACACGCGCAGUGCACCUGGAAUUGGUGUCCGACCUAAGCACACCAGCGUUUCUGGCAGCAUUACGGAGAUUUAUUGCUAGAAGAGGAACGGUAACGGAAAUUCAUUCUGACAAUGGUACCAACUUCAAGGGAGCAGCGAAUGAGUUGAACAAAUUAUAUGAGCUAUUCAACUCUACUGAUCAUCAGCAAAGUAUUUGGGCUUGGACAGCUGAACAGCAGAUCAGAUGGAAGUUUAUCCCGCCUCGCGUGCCACACUUUGGAGGCUUGUUGGAAGCAGCAGUAAAAUCAAUGAAGCUUCAUUUACUGCGUGUGUUGGGCACAUCAUCGGUGUCACACGAAGACAUGGUGACACUAUUGGCCGAGGUUGAGUGUUGUUUGAAUUCCCGUCCGAUUUCACCAUUGUCGGACAGUCCAAAUGAUUACGAAGUACUAACGCCAGGUCAUUUUCUCACAGGUUCAAAUAUGCAACAUUUAGCGGAAGUAGACGUAAAAAACAUCCCCGAGAACCGCUUGAACCAUUGGAGACACGUUCAACAUCGACUACAGCAUUUUUGGAAGCGUUGGCAUGUGGAAUAUCUUCAACAACUGCAGACUAGCCCCAAUUGAAAAGGCCCAGUACGACUGAUCUGCCCUGGAAUGAUGGUAAUCGUACGAGAAGAUAAUGUGCCACCGCUAAAAUGGCCAUUAGCGAGAAUAAUCGAUGUACACCUAGGACCAGACGGCACCGUAAGAGCCCUACAGGCAAAGAGAGCGAUAUUUACAGGCGAGGGGCAUGUAGAAACAGGGGGAAGGGGUUCGGUCGAUUUUGUAUUGGCCGCCAUAGUCGAGCCGCAGUGAUUUUUUUCCGAAUUGAGAGUAAGCGCGCGCAGCGCUCUCUCGCAUGCCUUCAAAUUACACGGGGCGCUCUCGCUAUACAAAACAGCUGAUCAGCUGAUACCCCCUCCCUCCCGUUUCUUUCCUCUCGCGAUGCGCGGAUCAGCUGUUCUUGCUCUCUCGCGUUUC